AUUGAACGCUGGCGGCAGGCCUAACACAUGCAAGUCGAGCGGAGCGGCGGACGGGUGAGUAAUGCCUAGGAAUCUGCCUGGUAGUGGGGGAUAACGUCCGGAAACGGGCGCUAAUACCGCAUACUAUCAGAUGAGCCUAGGUCGGAUUAGCUAGUUGGUGGGGUAAAGGCCUACCAAGGCGACGAUCCGUAACUGGUCUGAGAGGAUGAUCAGUCACACUGGAACUGAGACAGUGUAAAGAAUCAUACGGGAGGCAGCAGGGGUGAAUAUUGGACAAUGGGCGCAAGCCUGAUGCAGCCAUGCCGCGUGUAUGAAGAAGGCCUUCGGGUUGUAAAGUACUUUCAGCGGGGAGGCGUUACCCGCAGAAGAAGCACCGGCUAACUCCGUGCCAGCAGCCGCGGUAAUAC
rnacentral:rRNA from 1 species